AUGGGGAAGACAGCAGCGGCACGAAACAUGGAAGAGUGGCGAUUGCUUGUCUCGGGUCUUGGCAUCGGCAAUGGUUCGACAUCCUCAGCGGUGGCUAUUGAGGGUGAUAAUGGGUUUCGACGGUUGGUGGCUAAUAGGUCUUGCGUGGGUCAAUUUUUUUUUUUUUUUGGGUUUGUGGGUCCUGCAAUCAAAGUUGAGCACAGAUGAUGGUCACGGGCUUGGAAGGGGUCGUUGGUUUCUCUGCUGGUUUGGGGAUAAAGAACUCAUGUGGCCAAAUGGGGUAUAUUUGGACUGUAGGGGCUGGUUUGGGCUUGAUCAAGAUCUCAUGGGGUAAAAACUUGAAAGGUAAUGUCAUAUUUGGUUGGCUUGCUCUUUGAUGGUUUUUGCUUUCAAGUGGUUGUCUACGGUUGUGUUGUAUGGACUGGAAGUCUGCUCUGAUACCAAAACUGACGUAGGACAACCAUACUAUUUCAAUGGAACAAUUAAACAACAAUAGAAUCAAGAAUAAACCCUAGGAGUUAACCUAAGGGUUGCUUGGAGUCAACACCAAGCAUACUGGAAUCGACACCAGUGUAAAAGAAACACAAUAUUUUUAUAAUUCUCAAAAACUGCCUUACAAUAAUAAGAAAAGUGCUUAAAUAUUAACAAUAAGAUGCAUAAAAAAACCCUAAUUAUUAAAUGCUCGGGCUUGCUUAAUCUCAAGCCCAAUUACUAACAAACUUCAUCCAUAAGGCCACAGGUUGGGCCGUCUUCUUUUUGCUCUUCCUCCCAUACAUGCAUAUAAUUGGAGGCUUGUACCUUGUGUCUGCACCACUAUGACUUUAUCAAUCCCCCACAAUCUUCAAAAUGAUGUAACUGAGACUACAAAAUAAACAUAAAUUCAAAUAGAAGUUUGAUGUAGAAUCUUUAAAAAUUUAGCAUAAAAUUAGAUUUCUUGAUGAGAUCGUGAAGGGUUCUUGAAUAAAGAUUGAUGUUUAAGGGUUUACGUAGAGAAAAGUUUGUUAUUUUUUUUUUUUUUUUUUGAUAUGAGAAAAGUUUGUAUCUUGAAUAUAUUGAUGGCUAUUUACUAUUAAAACAGGGAACAAAACAAGAAAUAAGAUAGAUAAAACACUAGGCAAUAACAUUGGUUUCCUAGGCAAUCACAAUUAGCUAGGAGAAAAUAAUCAAAUGCUCAAAGCUUUUAAAAUAAAUUGCUAGAAUUUUAUUAGAAUCGAUCUCACUAUCAAUGCUAUUGACUAUAAUAAAACCUAUAUACAAGCUAGUUAAAUCCUUUCCUAGAAGUACUCUAAAUAACCUAUUCCUAAAAUGACUGGAAUAACUAAUAAGGAAUAAUUAAAAAAAAAAAAAAACUUAAGAACUUAUAAACAAAAUAGGAAAAGGACUCAAAACAUAAAAUAUGACUCAUGGGCCUAGGACAACCAAUUUCAGAUUUCUGGAAAUUAUCAAAUGGCCUUAUUCUAGUAAAAGUGUAAAACUUAAUUAAAACUGAUCUCGUAGCAAAAAAAAAAAAAAAAAAAAAAAAAAAACAAUAGAAUAAGACUCAAUUCAACUUUAGAAUGACUAAGCAAGGUCAUAAAGGAGGUCUCCAUCAUCUGAAACAUCCCAAAUUAAUGCUUGAGAACUAGAACCAACUUUCCCUUGAAUCUUAUAUGUCUUUAAGGGGGACUGCCAUUUAUGUUUUCAAUCAAAAUUCAAACUAAGAUCAUUAUCAUUAUUUCUCAGCUAAAAACUAAAAACUUGUUUGGUUGUCAAGAAAAUUUUUUUUGGGAAAGGAACAUUGUACCUAGCUAAGUACAACGACCUUUUUUUUUUUUUUUUUUUUUUGGGAGUUUCAAAGUAUUUUUUUUUUUGAUAAAUAAUGUAAAAAUUUUUUCUUAAAGAAUAGCCAACCCAAGUACACUGGAAAUGUACUGAGUGGUAGAGAUUAAUGACCCAAAUUAUAUCGAUCAAGUAGAAUAGGGAGAGACAAAGAAGUGCAUUAAGGUAAAACUAAGCUCCAUUCAAGGAGAGUAUGAAAGAAAAAAGACUUUAUAUAUUCUCAACACUUUUGAGGGUGGGAACAUAAAGUGACAAGGCCAAAAACCCAACUUUAAUUUAGAUAAACAUUGAUAUUAAAAUUUACCCUAAAAAUUUAGAUAAUAGAGAAGCCCAAAUAACUAAAAAUAUAAAGACAAUAACCUUAAUUUUGAACACUUGCUCAAUCUCAAUCAUGCAUGCAGCUUAGGGUUUGCAGUUCUAAUCAUUGCUCUAUACGCAAGCCCAUCAAGGGCAUUAGAAGACAUUCUACAAGAUACAUUUAGUUGUAAGCAUGAAAAAAAAAUGCUCAUUAUCACCAAGCUUCAAUCAAUACAUCAAGAUUGUUAAAAUCGGGAUCCUACAUAGAAUCGUGGGAGGUAGGUAGGAUCGUGGAUCGUAGAUCGUAAGAUCCUACCUAUUUUCAGAUUUUAAGCAAAAAACCUAUUGAUAGUGAUUUUAUAUGUUAUAUAAUCACUUAAAAUAUGAAUCCAUCUGUUAAAAAAAAAUUGCAUCAUAAAAUGUAAUUUACACGCACUACAUCGUUCUUAUGUCAUUCUAACGAAACAAAAUAUAUUUAACUUUUGACAUAAUGUACCUAAAAUGUUCAGUACAUGUUUAAUUAACAACUAAGUACCAAAAUAUUAUCUACACAUAUGGAAAUUUUUUUCCAAAUUCUAAGUUCCAAAUCCAAAAUAAGUUAGGCUAGUUAGCAUAUUAAAACUAGCUAACUACAAAUUUAAAAUAUGUAAUCCCAAAGAGAUUUCUCAAUCUAAGGUAAACUAGCUAAUUACAAAUAUGAAAUCCAAAAGAGAAUUCUCAUUCUAAGGUUCUUCUAAUCUAAUCAUUGUCAUUGUUAUAUCCCAUUUCAUCAAAAAAAUAUUUUAGGUUUUGUUUUUGAAAACGUUAAACUUAAGUACUAUAGGUUUUUUUGAGAUUUUAUGUUGACAUGGGGGUAAAUUUGGGACUUCAAUUCAUUUUUAGGCUUCUAAUAACCCGUUGGCUUGUGGGUUUAGGUGGAUUAUCUUACCCAAAUGAAUCCCACUUAAAAAAAAAAAAAAAAAAGAAGCCAAAUGGUAGGAUUGGUAGGAUCCCAUACGAUCCUACAAUCUUAUGCGAUUCUAUACGAUCUUACCAUUUUUGCGAUCCUGUUACGAUUUUAAACUUUUUGGUGAGGUGAAGUCAUAAAAUCGUGCAAUUUUACGAUCUGGAUUGUGAUUUUGACAACCAUGCAGUACAUUUUCAUGUUUCCUUCCUCAAUUUCCAUGAUGAUUUCAAAGACAUUAUUUGUUUUAUAAAUUACAAACACUAUUAGAAGUAACUGGCAAGACAAACUCUAUUGCAUAUGCUGCCAAUGAUAUGUUUUUUUGUUCAAAUGCAUUAUUCCUGUGUACAAGAGAAACAAUUUUGGACGGUGGACACUUAAGAGAAAACAGAAGUAAGAGGAAGAAGAAUUACCGGAAUGUGCUUUCAUGGCUUGGAACUUUGGAAGUUUUGGCGCGCCUCCGGUAAAUUUGAGAAUGAAAGUUCCUUUAAUAGGCAUAAACAAAAGUAUCUGCUUAAUUGCAAUAUACAAGUUAAAAUGUAUGCAGAUUUUGGCCAUUCUUUCAUUGAUAAUGAGAUGCAAAUGCUCUACGGUUGUCAUGUAAAUUGAACAGUGCAGUUUGUAGACUUAAAUUAAGGUAGUAUCUUAAAGCUUCGAGACUAUGUAAAAAAGUUCAAAAACAUUAUAAAAAAAAAAUCUUACCUGUUAGAAGGUUACAACUCUUACCUGUUAAUUUUUGCCUAACCUAAGCACCUUUUUUAGUUUCCCACAAUGUAGAUUUCUUGCAAUCAUUUAGAUAUAUAGAAGUAAAUGAAUAAACAAUGAGAAAACAUUGAAACUAAAAUUUUGAUUUGCUCAUCAAUUUGAUAAAUGUUAUAAAGAACAUCAUCACCAACAGAAAUGGCGUAUGACCUCAAAGGUCAACCUAAAAGAAACUCUUUUCAGCCAAAAAUAACCAAACUCUUGAGUGCUAUUCUCAGUUUUCACUAUUAAAGUGAAUCACUGAAAAAGAAAAUUAGAUGCAAGACAGGGUUGUAAACGAGUUGAGUUUUGUCAAGUAGUGCAUGUUUAAGUUUGGCUCGUCAGGAAAAAUCAAAAGCUUGAGCUUGGCUUGAGCUUGUGACAAGCCUAAAAAUAGUGUUUGAGUUUGAGCUCGUGGGAAAGCCAAAAAGCUUAAGCUUGAGCUUGGCUUGGUUUGGUUUGAUUAAUUAGUCAAACCAAAUUUAAGCUUACUAUCAAGCUCAAACUCAAGCUCAAGUCAAGUUUUUGAGCUUGAGAUCUAAAAAAAUUAUAUUAUUAAAUGCUUAAAUCUCUAAAAUUAUGAAAAAAGAAAAUUUAAAUAGUAUAUUUAUUUUAUCAUGCAUCUGAUCUUACUUAUGAUUAGCUAUUAUUCAAAUUAAUAAUUUACACAAUUUAAUUCAUUCAUUCAUCAUUCUUUAUCUAUGGCUUCAGUAAUUGUUCAAAAUAUAAUUUUUACAUUCACGUUAGAUGGUGAAGGAUUAGAAAAAUACUUGUUUGUAACUAUUAUGAAUGAGAAAAUACUAACACGUUUUCUAAUUUUACUUUAGAAGAUUGAUAGGGAAGGAUCAUAUGUGGCCUACUUAAUUAAUUAAUUAUUUUUAAAUGUAACUAUAGUUUAAAGUAGUUCUUUAUCAGUUUAAAGGGAAGGAAAAAAUUAAGGUAAUAUUGGUAGUGGUCUCAUGUUGGUCAUAUUAUUAUUAAGAUAUGUGUAAUGAGUAUAUUUAGCUAACACGUAAACUUAUAAAUGAGUCUAUGCUUGAAUUCUUGUGUAUCAAGUCUAAAACUCACGAGCUUGAUCAUGAACAAAUUUUUUUGCUUAGGCUCAGCUUGUUUAUUAAACGAGCCUAAAACUAAGGCUCAAGUUUGGCUUAUUUAUAAAUAAACAAACAUGAACAAGCUUUUUGUUAAGCCGAGCCCGAGUUGUUCAUGAUCGGCUUGGUUCAUUUACAACCUGUUGACACCCCAUUUUGCAACCCGCAUUUAACCUCAUUUGGAGGGUAAAAGGGUAAUUUCACCUUGAGAAUAUGCAUCUUGAUUCUAGUCAUUAGAUCCUUAAUCUCAUUUCAUCAAAAUGAUCUUGAUGUUGUAACGAUCAAAUCAACUAGUCAUAAGCCCUAAUCGGACCACCAGAUUGAAAGUUAUCAUCAAAUCAAGUUUUAAUGGCUGAGAUGCACUAUCACAAAUUAAGUCCAACUAUAUGUGAUUAUGAACAAUUGAUUUCAAUUGGUUAUAAGUGUAAUCAAUUGGAGAUCAAUGAUGUGUCAUAAUUUAAUUGGUUAGGACUACAUUUUAUGGUGAGGUUAUCUGAAUUUUGCUCGACGGGAGUGUUAGGCCUUCGAUGGUCACUUCUUCUGUUGCUAUCCCCCUCAUCUUCCUGAUUUCCCUUCGAACGAUUGUCCUCUUGCUGAAGCCGUGAUCUCAAUUCUUGAUUUUGCUUAGUUAGUUCUUCAACGGUGGCUGCAAGGGUUUGAACUUGCUGAGCCAAGGUUGUAGCGUCUUGAUUAGACUCCAUCUUGAAAAGAACAAGAAUAGGGAACCACUAUUUCGAGUCGGAACACGAAAACAAUGUCGUUCCCACAGACAGCGCCAAACUGAUAAGUGUAAACUUGUCAGUGAUGUUCGUCGGACGGAGCUAAUCCCUCCUCCUUCCCUUUUGUGCACACCGGUGUGGUGCCUGCCACAACGCCUCCGAUGCCAAAGUUAGAAUAUAGGGUCUUCUUUGUGAGGAAAGUAAAAUGAACAAAAAGAGCAAAAUAAACAGUAUUCUUUCUUACUUGUCUCUUACCUUCGUGGGAGUGUAUGGGUUUUAUAUCUGUUCUCAUCGUCCCUAGCCGUUGGAGGAGUUAUGGAGGUCUUAAUGCUCCAUUGGGUAACGCUUCAAGACUGUGUAAUGAGGCAUCAAUGUCUCCAAACGGUUUGUACAGUUGGAAGUGUAACCGUUCAGUUGACUGCAUUAAAGGGACUGAAUUUCCUCGUCAGUACCGUGGCCUUCUGCGCUGCUCGUCCUGGGGACGUUCUCGUCCGUAUGAGGACAAUCAUUCUCAUAGAUGGCUUCAUCAGUGCUUAUUUACCUCGUCAAAACUAAUGUGGAAGUUUUGUAAAAAUAGGUGUGCAAAAUAGAAAAAACAAGUUUUUUUUUUUGCAAAAUGGACAGAUUUUUUGCAUCAACUGAUGUAGAUACUCUAAAUGUGUAAACUUAGCCUCAUGUGUCAAACAACUGGUGUUUCCUUAAAGUAAUUGUUUUGUUUAGUUUAUUUAUUUAUUCUUAAGAUCUAUUGUACUAAAUUUUUGUGUGUCUAAACCAUGUUUAAUUUUGGCCAACACAUGUUAUUUUUUAUUUUUUUUACAAGAAGCUUGUAACUUUAUUAAAAAUAAGAUAAAUUUAGUAUAGUAUAAUUUGGAGAGGAUAUUGGAGAAAAAUCAUUGAAUGAGAGGGUUAGUUAGUGUACUUUGGACUUUUUGGAGAGCAUAUUGGAAAAAAAUCAUUAAAUGAGAUUGAGGGAAAAGAUAGAGCUUCCCUUUUUGGAGAGCAUAGACGACUUUAUAGUAGUACCAGCACCUAUCCAGUAAACAAAAACCAUCACAUGAAUUUGUUUUUAACUUUUUUUUUUUUUUAUUUAUAAGAAUUUGUUUUCAAUUAUUAAUCUCUCUUUGUGUCUAUAUUUAGUCUUAAAACAAUUUAUCCAAAAUAAAAAUAAAAAUAGUCUUAAAACAAUGAUAUUCAGCUGUUGACACCCCAUUUUGCAACCCGCAUUUAACCUCAUUUGGAGGGUAAAAGGGUAAUUUCACCUUGGGAAUAUGCAUCUUGAUUCUAGUCAUUAGAUCCUUAAUCUCAUUUCAUCAAAAUGAUCUUGAUGUUGUAACGAUCAAAUCAACUGGUCAUAAGCCCUAAUCGGACCACCAGAUUGAAAGUUAUCAUCAAAUCAAGUUUUAAUGGCUGAGAUGCACUAUCACAAAUUGAGUCCAACUAUAUGUGAUUAUGAACAAUUGAUUUCAAUUGGUUAUAAAUGUAAUCAAUUGGAGAUCAAUGAUGUGUCAUAAUUUAAUUGGUUAGGACUACAUUUUAUGGUGAGGUUGCAUACACCUAAUUAAUUAGAUAGUUAAACAUUAAUUAUUCAAUGAGUAAUUUGUGUAAUUAUCUUUUAAUUAGAGUAAAUUGGGAACCAAUUAAUUCUGAAAUGGGAGUGAUUGGAGCCAUUUAAUGUUAAUUGGGAGCUAAUUUGGGACCUAUUAAUGUUAAUUGUGCUGAAACCAUUUUCUAACAAAUGACCUCUGCUCACUAUUUCAUCAAUAUCUCUCAGAAUAUUUUGAAUCUGUGAAUGAGGUUAAUUUUCCCAGAAACUAGACAUCCGGGGCUUCAAUUUGAGCACAAGAACGAGACAAUUCCGAUCAGAAUUGGGUCAGAUAUGAUUUUUCGAAGUUAGCUCUACAAGCUGUUACAGAAGCUACGGGAAAACCGAAUUUUGGCUUGCUCCCCACUCCCACCAAUCUCUCCAUUUAAUGCACCAGAUUUUCCCCAAGGCUAAAAUGAGGUCUAGGUUUAUAAUCCUUGUCAACCUUCAUUAAAUGGCCUUCCAUUCAUAUUCCCUCCACUACCACUAUAUAAACCCUCCCCCUCCUUCAUUCCAAGGCACCAAAAAAAAAAUCCCCUCUCUUCUCCUCUCUUGAGUUCUAGUGAAGUUGAGUAGUCUUGUCACAUCUUGGUCUUCCUGAGACUCAAGAUAUUGAGUGAGACUCACUCUUCCUCUCCUAACUCUUCUUUUCCUCCACCCUAGGACCUCCCUCAAGAAUCUCUUCUUCUACCAUAUGGAUCUCGCAUGAAGGUAUAAUCUCUUUCCCUAAUUGUUUCUUGUGUUGCUAUGAUGAGAAUUUAAGAUUAAAGCAUGAUAAUGAUCAUUUAAAUUCCUUUGAAUAUGUUUGAAUGUUCUUAGUUGUUCUAAUAUGUUCUUCACAUGUUCUUGGUUGUUCAUCACAUGUUCAUGCAUAUCACUAAUUUUAAUCUUAAAUCCAUAUCAAAAAUAUGAAAAACAUGUUUGUUUAAUAAUUCUUUCAAAUCCUUGACUCUAGGUUAUCACCAUCCACACACAUUCACUAGAAUUUAUUUUUCAAUCCAAAUGUAAUGCUCAAUAAAUUGAAUUAGGGUUUAUCACAUGCACACACCCAUAUUCAACAUGCAAAUUGAUUGACAUAUUGGAUGAUAUGAUAUGAUUGUUGGCCACCAUAGUCUAGAAGACCGGUUUCACCGGGCAAGGUGGGUGCCUAACACCUUCCUACCUUGUAACAUAGCCUCUGAACUUAGAUCAAGGGUUAGUAGAUCAAAUGCUUAUCCUUGUAAUUUUCAAUUUUUAGAUUGUAACUAGGAAACAAAGCCAUGUACUUUAUCUUAGAUUGUAUCUAGGACCAAAGCCAUGUAAUUUUCCUAUGAUCAAUGUAAAUUUAAAUUUCAAAUUAAUAAAAUGAGGAAUUUUUCAACUAUGGUUUUCUUAUUUUUCCAACAAUUAAAUAAGUGGCGACUCCAUUGUAAAACCCUCAAUCUAAAGGGGAAAAUAUAACUAGUCGAACCUCCAUUUUGAGAGGCAACACACGACUCCACCCAUUCACGUGGGUUUGGCCCAACAUUUCAUUAAAACGGGCCGGAGGCGCGGUCUCUCACACAACCCUAUGCAAGAGUGGAGUGUUUUUAAGAGUUUGAGAGAAUCAGCUUCUUCAAAAAUGGAUUCUUUACGCAAGUCUCUAACUCCAAAGAAAGACUAGAGAGAAACAGAUUUACAGAAAAAAUAACUAUUUUUCAUUGAUAUCUCAAUUGAUCAUUACAUUUAUUUAUCCAUCUCUGGCCCUAUUCUAAUUGGACAAACAUGACUCACUCCAAUUUGGCUCACAAACUAGGCAUCUGCCUUAUAUACACACCUGUGAUCCAUGUGUUACAUCUACAUGAGCCCUAACCAUCCUAUCUACUUUUAACUAAUUAACUCUAUCUACCUCAUGAAAACAAAUUUUAUCUACUUGUAACUAACUUAUAACUAACUAACCCUACAUGUGCCAAGCUUAUAAUCUGAUCCAACCGGGCUAAUGACAGUUUUUAGUAACAUACUUUCAUAUUCUGGCUAAUCUAAAAGUAUGUGAUUCCAUUCAACAACAAAAAAAUAUAAAUAGGAAUUUUGAAAAAAAGAACUAGUAAGAUUUUAGAACCUCAUCUCGAUGAAUCAAAACGAAGAAGAUGAUGAUCCAUGAGAGAGAGAGAGAGAGAGCGAGAGAGAGAGAGAGAGAUAAGAAUGUUUUGUUAUAAGUUUGUGAGUGUGAGACUAAAUGAAAGAAAAAUAAUAAGAAUAGGUGUACACACAGAUCUCGUAAAAGAUAAAUCACACGGUAAGGAAAUAACGUAACAAAUAAUCAAUAUGUAUCAAUUUAUAUAUAUAUGUGAGUACAAUCUUAUAUAUGACUCUUUACAAUGAAAGAUACAAUAAACUCAUCUGAUUCAAUCUCGAAAAAACUUUAUGAUUCAAAGCUUGAUCUUGAAUCGUACCUUGCUGUCUCCAAGUUGAAUGAAUAGUUGAACGUAUUUGAUUUGAUGUGAGGGCCGUUGGCUUAAUCUCGAAUUAAAUUAAAGGAGAAUCCCUACUUUGAUUUGAAGAGGUAUGAAUAAGCCUCGAUGAACAAUAGAAUUCUUUUGGACUUAGAGAUGACUCUCUAUUUUGGUAGAGUGUCAGUAGGGUUUUCUCUCCAAGUAUUGGUUUCUAUUUUUUCAUAUGAGAAACCUCUAUUUAUAAGUGACUCAAUGGUAUUUAAUUUUUAAUUUUCUCCAAGUAUUUAUUAAGAGUUAAUUAUGAAUUAUGAAUUAUGAAUUUAAUUUGGUUUCCCAUUUAAUAUGAACCUUCCAUAUGAGUUUUUUCUUCAAACGUUGCCAUAUGACUUUCUUCAUUCGAUGUUGCCAUGUGGCCUAUUAGUGCAUAUUCGUCCACAUCAUCAAUUGAAAAUUAAUUUGAUAAAAAAAAUACUUAGAUCAUGAUCAAUUUGACGUCUAUAGAUGCAUCAUAAAAUUUUUGAUAUCUACAAAUGCCCCCCACUUCAAGAUUCGGCUUUGUGUCUUUUGGAUGUAAAGAAGAUGAGGCUUGAAGAAUUCUUUUAUUUUAUUUAUUUAUUUUGUUUAUCUUUAAUAAAGGACUUGGUUUUACGGUAAAACAAGGCUUUCGUCCGAGUGAAAUCUGGGCUUCCAUCGUCCCGAUGCUAUAUAUUACAAAUUUGUCAUCCAAGAUGUCUUCCCAUGGUUUUAAUCAUAUGACCCACGCACAUUUUUUUUAGUUGAGCACUCGGGCCUCAUGGGCUUGAUCACACACAAAAGGCAUUCCCUCCAGACUGCAAGCCCACCUUAGUUUUGUUAGGCAAGUCGGUGCCGCAAUUGUCUUGCCGGCAAGCUUUUUUUUAAGCCGCACUCUUACAAAUCGCUAGGGUUUCUCGCGAAUGCCACCUCUAUAAAAAGGACGUGAUGCUUUAUGGGUGAGAGUAAACUGUAAGCGCCGUUCUUCGAGUUCUUUUUUUUUUUUUUUUUUUUUUUUUUACAGCCGUAGCAGGCAUUCUCUCCUUUUCUUUUUUCUUAUGAUCCACUUGAUUUAUUCUGUGCAGGACAUAGAAGUUGGCACGGUGUGAGACAAGCAUCAAUUUCAAGCGAGUUGCGGCAUCCUGUCCUUCUUGUCUUGGUGUCCAACGGAUUCGAACAACAGUGGUCCUCUUGCCAUCCCUGGACUACGGGUGUGUAAGCUUCAUCCGUGUAUCCUUCUUGAUGUCUUCGUCUUGCGGCUACCAGUGUGUGAGCUUCGAACGCUUCAUCUGCGUAUCCGUCUCACUGCCUUUGUCUUGCAGUCAUUGAUGUGCGAGCUUCGAACGCUUCGUCUGCGUAUCCUUCUUAUUUCCUUCGUCUUGAGGCCAUCGGUGUGCGAGCUUUGUCUGCAUAUCCUUACCACCAUCUUCGUCUUGCAGUCAUCAGUGUGAGAGUUUCGUCUUGCGGCCAUCAGCGUGCGAGCUUUGUCCGCAUAUCCUUCCCACUGCCUUCAUCUUGUGGCUAUCAGCGCUCUUCUUACUGUGACAUUAUGAAGCUUGUGAUUUUAGGUAAUCCAACUCCAUCUUCUGUGGUCACUUAUGGUCAUGUUGCUUCCUUGUAUUUGUCAGGCAUAAAAAAUUGUGGCGCUGUCCUUGACGCUCCCAAGAGAAACAAACAUGCACUACACGCACUAGUUUUGUGUGUCCCACUUGGUACAAGGAAAUACUGGCUUGACCAUUGAUCUCACUUCUACAAGGGAGUAGCCCACUUUUACGGUUUCUAUUGUUUUGCAUGUAAUAACUUAUGCUAUAUUGAACACGUACUGAAGCAUUAAUUUCACGCGGCACGCGGAGAGACACGGUGGCUUCUAUUGUUUUGAACGUGUUUUUUCCUUUACAUGCACAUAUAGCUCUUUCAAUACUCUUAAUGUACAAUGUUUAGGAGCUUGAAUGUGAACAUUGAACGAAUGGCUUCCUGUGGUUUUGAAUCACAAUGCCAUAUGGCCCCUUUCUAAUAAGCCAUGAAUGUAUGUUCCCUUUUUUUUAUUUUUUUAUUUUUUAUUAUCAAUUUAUUAGUAAAGUUCAUUUGAAUGAACAACUUAUUCAUCUUUUUCUUUGGUUUGCUGUCAGGUGUGCUAGGUGAUUCAGACCAAUCAACCCGCCGCUUGACUUGUGGCUCGGUCUAUGUUUGCUUGGAUUGUGAUCUUUACAAACUUGGUUCUCUCCACUUGGGUGCAAUCAAGUACACCCCAUCAUAG
rnacentral:sRNA from 1 species